UGUCCCAACGGUGUGUGGCUUCCUGCUUGGCGCGACGCGGGAGCAUAGCUCGCCGCCGGUGAGCAGCCGCCUUGUGCAGCUCUCGUAGCAUUCUGCUGCGGCCGCCCCUCCACCCAGAUUCCUUUCCUCCAACCAAUCUGUUCUGCCUCCAUCCCCCAUUUAGGUAGGCUCGUCAGUUAGUACUCUUGAUUCGUCCUCCAAUCCGCCUCAUUGACGGCUAUCAUGGAUCUAUGGGAUGGCUUGGAGGAACACAAGAAAGGACUUAGCUCCUAAAGACUGGAAUUGAGAAGGAUGGAUACACCAACACCAGAAAGCACUGCCGGUGAGGAGACCAUAGUGGAGAGUACAGAAGAAGCUAUGAUUGGAACGGAGAGUGUAUUGUGAUGGAGAGUACAAAUGAACUUUUAUAUAUAUCUAGUAAUUGUAGUGUACGAAAACCAUCAGAAUUGGAUUUCUGUUCUGCUAGCCUUUAUAUCUUGCAGUUUAGUUUACUUAUAUUUAUGAAAACCAUUUAGUAAAAUUCUUCAUAUGAAUAUGUCAAUAUAUCAUUCAUUCCAAUUGUUCUUGGGUAGCUGGAUAGUCACAUACACACUAUGUGAACAAUAGUUCUAAAUAAUCAGUCUUCUGUUAAGUGUGUUUGCAUGAAAUCUGUGACUACUUAAGCAAUCGUAUUAAGUUACAAGCUUAAUUACUUCAAAAACAACCAAUUUACUAUGUUAGAAGUUGUAUAAUUUUGAAAUAAGACUAGUGUAAUUUUUAUUCUAUUAAACAUUCUUGCACCAUCUUUUUUGUUAGUUUGGUACAUUUUUUUUGGUUAAAAGUUUUAUACAGUUUUGGGUUUUGGUGUGACCGUGUGUCUGAUAGUAGGCUGCAGUCUUUUGAUAUAUGUAGAAUAACCAAAUGUGUCUAGUCUGUACUCUGUAGACUUAUGAUGUACUGCAUGGUUUGAAAAUGACGAAUUACUUAAUUGUUUGAUUUUUGUAUGUUAAACAAUUUACUAACACUUUUUUUCAGUUCCAGUUUGCAAGAUCAUUUCCAAUUCAGGGAGUCAGUUUAUUUAGAGUGCAGAUUGCAUAUACUUGAAAAAUGUAUUUUAUUUCCAUGCCCCAGCUGCUUUUCUUCCUUAAGUUUAUAUACCCAUUUCUCAGCUAAUUUAAAAAUCUGGCAUUGUUGUUUUGGUUUCACAACCUGAGUAGCACAUAAGGUGAAUUCUUCUAUUUUUGGAACGAGGGAUCUCAUGCUAAUGGCAUUUUGGUUACAACAGGGAUGAUGUGGGAUUUGUUUUCUCAUUUACGUGGCUCAGGAUAAUCCUCCAACAUGAUUUCUUCGAGGGUGUUACAUUCUUGGAGGACCACUUCCUCCGCGACACCCCGGCGUCGUCUUCCCGGAUUGGACGCGCAUGGAUUGCGUUCUCAAGUCCUGGAUCUACGGCACCAUCUCCAACGACCUCGCCGAGACCGCCAUGGAGCGCGACACCACCACCCGUGUCGCCUGGCUUGCUCUUAAGACCCAAUUUCUCAGCAACCGAGAGACACGGGUCCUGUACCUCGACGCCCAGUUCCGGCAAUUCGUGCAAGGUGAUCUUUCCAUCAGCGAUUACUGCAGGUCGUUCAAGCAGAUGGUGGCCAAGCUGCGGGACCUGGGCGAAGACGUCACUGACAGGAUUCUCGUCCUAAAUGUGAUACGUGGCCUCAAUGACCGCUACACCGCCCUCGGUCUACAUCUCUGCCACGCCCGGCCCUUCCCACCUUCGAUGACGUGUGCGCGGACUUGCUCAUGGAGGAGCUCAACAUGACGAAUCGCUCCUCCACCCCGUCCACCGGCGGCCAGCACACGGGCAGCUCCGCCCCCUCCUCCGGCGGACCACCGCGGACCCCCUCCGAUGGGGGUUCGAGCUCCGGGGGCGCGGGCUCCGGCAAAACCCCCAAGGAGAAGAAGGGCGGCCGCGGCAGGCGUGGUGGCCACGCCCCGGAGAAGGCCACCCCUCCCGCCAGCAGCAGCACCUGCCUCCUUCUUAGUAAUUAAAAAAUUGUAAAUUGAAUUAAGGAAACUAACUUGCUAGUGUGAUUGAUUUGGAGUUACUUGAUUUUAUUCGCAUCGCCUUGUUUAUUCGAUCCGAGUUGGAUUUA